AUGGAGAGGAAAUUGGGAGCUUUGCUGGGGGUUUUUUGGGUGCACAUUUGCUGGGUGCAAGGAGUUGAGGUGCAGCAGAGUCCUUCAGUUCUGAAACUCUACGAGGGAACCAGUUCUGAUCUGUCAUGCAAUUUUUCUACCACCAUCAUGAGUUUGCAGUGGUUACAGCAGAAUCCCAGGGGCAGCUUCAUCAAUCUUUUUUACCAGGCUCCAGGAACAAAGACAAAGGGGAGGUUAAAGUCUACAUUUGACUCCAAGGAGCGGUACAGCACCCUGCACAUCAGGGAUGCCCAGCUGGGGGACUCAGGCACCUACUUCUGUGCAGCAGAGGCACAGUGCUUCCAUCAAGCCUGUAGCCUGGCCCCAAAUUGCAGCUGUUCAUGCAGCUACAGCCGUGACAUGGACAGACUCUACAGGAGGCUUUUCACAGUGGAGGCUUUAUCAGAUCCCCACCAUUUGCAAAGAAGGAGUGAGGAAACAGAAAAUUACCACUGCAGAAGUCCACACUUAGACUCCGAACGUGGUGAUACUGACUUGAAGGAUAAAAGCUCAGAAACAUCAGCCUCGUGA